GAUAAUAUUUUCCCAGAAUCUUAUAUGAUUCCAUCUGGUUGCCCCAUUUACCACCUUGGCAGCUUUGAAUCAAUCUUCCCUUAUAUGCAUUAAGCACACAUCCUUAGUAACCUACCCCCUUUCAUGCACAUUGUUAGAGACACCCAUGCUAUAACAACAAACCCAUACAUUUUAGUCCCUUUCAAUUGUCCCUGUUAUACCACUCCAAAUUUAUGAAUCAAUAGACUCCUACUGGAAAGAGAGCUGAAGAGUGAAUUAUAGUGUGAAAUCUCAAUUUUCUCUUACCCAUAAUAUUCCUACCUGUGGAAUUUUGUAAAGACCCAAGAUGUCUGCCAUGCACAAUGUGACCUCAGAGCUCAGUCCUCCAAUGACUCCUAUUACAUUUUCCUGGUAGCCACAUUUGUAGUUGGGGACAAAGCUAUGUGUGUUAAACAGCAGAUCCAGAGUGGUGCGGUAGGUCAUCUUAGAGUUACAGUAGCUGUCAUAGAUGUGGAACCCAAGAGUGACAUUGGGCAAGACCUUGGGAUUCCCAUUGAUCUCAUCAAUCGCAAACACCAGGGCAAGGAUGUGCUGGAAGAACUUUGAUAACACGCUGUGAAUAAAGUGGCAUUAUUUCAUGGGGAAAUAAAAUAGUGCACAUAAUCUAGUUUUGAGAGGUACAACUUUCAAACUAUUGUGGUAUAUAAGGACUAUAAGGAAAGGCAGCAAAGUUAGUCAUGAAGUAAGUAUUAUUGGAAAGAUGGGUCUUGUUUUGUUCCUUUAGAACAGUGUUGGGCCUCCAGCUGUUUUUGGACUACAACUCCCAUCAUUCCUCGCUAGCAAGACCAGUGGU
rnacentral:lncRNA from 1 species